GUGCCGGUAGCUCAGUUGACAGAGCAGUGCUACUGUACCCCACGGUCCCGGGUUCAAGUCCCGGCCGACGCU